CCAAGUUCCUCUACUUGGGGAGCACCUUCUCUCUUCGUCAAGAAGAAGGACGGUACGAACCGUUUGGUCCAAGACUAUCGUCCUAUCAACCAAGCUACAAUUCAAAACAAAUAUCCCCUUCCUCGGAUCAAUGAUCUGUAUGAUCAACUGGCUGGUUCAUCGAUAUUCUCUAAACUCGACUUGAGGUUGGGUUACCACCAGAUCCGUGUUCGUGAAGAGGAUAUUCCAAAGACCGCAUUUGUGACUCGUUAUGGUUCUUACGAGUACACCGUCAUGUCAUUCGGUUUAACCAAUGCUCCAGCUACAUUCUCUCGUCUGAUGAACUAUAUAUUCAUGGAUUACCUCGACAAGUUCGUCGUAGUCUAUCUGGAUGAUAUACUGGUAUAUUCGAAGAAUAAAGAAGAACAUGCUGAACAUCUUCGUCUUGUUCUGGAGAAGCUUCGAGAGCAUCAACUUUAUGCCAAGUAUUCCAAGUGUGAAUUCUGGUUACCCGAAGUCACCUACCUUGGUCAUGUUAUCUCCAAGGAUGGCAUUGCCGUCAACCCAGAGCGCGUUCAGGCUAUUCUUGACUGGACCCCUCCAAAGACUGUCAAGCAAGUCAGAAGCUUUCUCGGACUGGCCAGCUAUUGUCGCCGCUUUGUCGAGAACUUCUCCAAGAUCGCCAAGCCACUGACUAAUCUGCUUCACAAAGGCGUUAAGUUUGAUUGGACAGACAAAUGUCAGGAAAGUUUCCAGGCACUCAAGGAUAAACUGACUUCUGCCCCAGUGCUUGCUCCCCCUGAUUCUCGCAAGGACUUUGUCAUCUAUUGUGACGCUUCACGUCAAGGAUUAGGCUGUGUUCUAAUGCAAGAGCGCAGGGUGAUUGCCUAUGCCUCCCGUCAAGUGCGUCCUCACGAAGAAAACUACCCGGUUCAUGACCUUGAGCUUGCAGCGGUUAUCUUUGCAUUGAAGCUAUGGCGACAAUACCUUCUCGGUAAUCGUUGUGAGAUCUUCACUGAUCAUCAGAGUCUGAAGUACCUGUUUACUCAGCCAGAUCUGAACCUCCGUCAGCAGCGAUGGAUGGAAGCUAUUGCUGACUACAACUGCGGUAUAUCUUAUACACCUGGCAAGGCUAAUGUAAUGGCCGAUGCCCUAAGCCGAAAGUCUUAUUGCAAUAAUCACCAGGUCUACAAAGCUCAACCCCGCCUUUAUGAAGAGCUAUGCAAGCUGAACCUUCAACUAGUUCCACAGGGUUCUCUGAAUAACCUUGUUUUGGAACCAACUCUUCUGAAAGCAAUCAAGUCUGCUCAAGCCAAAGAUGCUCAUGUGGAUCUGAUGAAAAAG
rnacentral:rRNA from 1 species